UACGUAGGGGGCGAGCGUUGUCCGGAUUUAUUGGGCGUAAAGAGCUCGUAGGCGGUUCGGCAAGUCAGAUGUAAAAACUCCAGGCUCAACUUGGAGAGGCCAUCUGAUACUGCCGUGACUAGAGUCCGGUAGAGGAGCACGGAAUUCCUGGUGUAGCGGUGAAUGCGCAGAUAUCAGGAGGAACACCAGCGGCGAAGGCGGUGCUCUGGGCCGGAACUGACGCUGAGGAGCGAAAGCGUGGGGAGCGAACAGG
rnacentral:rRNA from 1 species